rnacentral:lncRNA from 1 species
AUGUCUCAAUAAAUUCAACAAUGAUUCAUAGUCCUUACAUCAAAUUCAAUAAGACUUUCAACCGAAAAUAAAAGUAUAGAGAUUCUGCUUCUGAUCACUCUUUCAUUUAUAUCUUGUAUCAUCUUAAUUCCUCAACAUCUGUAAAAACAGUAAAAUAAGAGGUAAUGAGCUAGACAGCCCAGUAAGCAAUGAUCACUUCUCAACAGAUUUCAUCAGGCAUUUAAGUAAAUAAUCAUUUAUAGAAAAUAAGCAUAUAGAGUUCAUCAAUCCGAAAUCAAUUUCAAUUAUGCAACAUAAUUCAUGCCAAAUACAUUUCUUUUUCGAAAAUUCAAGUUUCUUUC